rnacentral:lncRNA from 1 species
UCAUGCUCUGUGUUCAUAUAGAAUCAAUGAAGAAUAAAUCAAUUAUUGAAGGUGGUAUAAACCACUCAUCUACGGAGUGUACAUUCACCUACCUGAACCUAUUUUCCACACCUGCUUACAUUGUCAUGAUAUAUCUGUAAGGCUUGCAUUGGGUGGAGGAGGAGGUAACAUAUAUAUUUGUUUUCAAUUAAAUAGGCUGGCCUGUCUCUUUUGGUAGUACUAAUUCUUGGAUCUCUUGUUCGUCUUUGCUUUAUCCCCUUUUUCCGCUAUCCUCAGGUUCUGUGCUAAAACAUGUAGUGUUUUAUUGGCAUUUUAAACAACUUUACCACGUCUAUAUGUUACAUGUUUUUGCCGGAUGCUCUAACCAUGCCACUUACUUUUGUGAUGACAUAUUCUUUUUCAUGCCUUGUGCAGUCUGCUUCUCAAGUUCAUGCGGGUCAAUUUGUUACUGGCUUCGUGGAUGGAUCUGUCAAACUAUUCGAUAUUCGGAUGCCAGAAAUGUAAGAUGUAGUACUAGUAAUUCAUGAGCAUAUAUAUGUCCGAACGCACACUUUUUCUUGUAUAUGGAACUCAAGUACAUUAGUCGAAUUGGUAGUGUGGACUUGCAUUAACUUAGACCACAAGUCUUCUGUUUUUCGAGUGGGGUUAGGGUGUAGGAAUUACGUCUCCUGGAGUUCGUGAUUUAUAGAUAUCAGGAUAAUAAUGUUGUCUUUGGCAUUAUGAGGUGAGGACAAAUUCGGACCUCAAAGAUGGGUAUCCGCUCUGCAUGGUUUCUCUCAGAAUGCAUACAUUAGGCACUAUCCACACAUGCAUGUAAUUUUUUGAUGCAUAAAAUACAUCAAUAUUCAGUGGUUUUUGACUGUUUAAUUUGUGUUUGUUUAGGCUUGUUUGUGCAACACGACCUCACCCCGAAGUGGAAAGAGUUGUUGGGGUUGGCUUUCAACCUGGACUUCAACCAGCGAAGGUGAUUAUCAUUAACCUCUUCAUAUCUGGCCUGUCAACUUGUCUGCUACUGAUUUGUCAGUAGACCAUCUUUGAAAAAAAUGUACACACACAUACACACUCUCUGUGUUUAAUAUCACUUGUUACAACAAUUACUUCUUGUGACAAGUUUUUUUCACACAAAAGUUCUAUAUUAUCAAAGCAAAUGAGAAGUCAUGAACUUUCUCUUGUUUCUUCUCAGGUUGUCAGUGCAUCUCAGGCUGGUGAUAUUCAGUUCCUUGAUAUGAGAAAUCUCAAGGAGGCAUACUUGACCAUUUAUGCUCACAGGGGAUCACUUACAUCUCUGGCGGUCCAUCGUCAUGCACCCCUUGUAGCGAGCGGUUCAUCUAAGCAACUUAUCAAAGUGUUCAACCUGGAGGGUGAGCAGUUAGGCACCAUUAGGUAUUUGUCCACCUUUAUGGCUCAGAAGAUAGGAUCUGUAAGAUGUCUUACCUUCCACCCCUAUCAAAUGCUGCUUGCUGCUGGUGCAGCUGAUGCCUGUGUUUCUAUCUAUGCUGAUGAGGUCCCGCCACCAUGAUAACAACUUCAUAGCUUCGUCUACAAACCUUCAGAUUGAGAGACAAGAUUUUCAGACUUAUGGUAUUCCUUUAAGGUGGUCAGUGGUGGAUGCAUUGUUGACAUCUUCUGGUCCCUUCUCGACCUCUCUGAAAUACUGAUUGACUCACUGAGAUUGCAGUUAUCUUCUGGUCAGUUGCUGUCAACCUCUCUCAAAUACGGAUUGGCUCACUGAGGUUGCAUGCUACUUAUUUAUUGAGAAUUUGAGAGUCAGCUUCAGAGUGGUGGAAAGUUGAGAAGAAUCAACAUACUGGAGGGAAGCGUUGGAGAAUAAUUUGAUACAGAGGUAAAAAGAUGUAGAUAUCUUCAUUCUUUGUUGUUCUAGUUUGUAAAUUCCAUUUUCUCUAGUUUCCUGCUUUAGUUCAAUCUUCUCUCUGCUUAGCUUACCUUCUUUUCUCCAUUCUCACCCAUUUAAGUCAAUUUGUACUUAUCAACUAACCUCCAUUUGUAAUGCCUUCACCUGAAUAAUAAUUUUAAUGUUAAAAACAGUCCUCAAAAGGGAUGAUAGUUGGACAAUCUUUUACUUUUGGAUCACCUAUUUUUGCUCACUUUCAUAUAAACAGCAGUUUAACGACUGCAAUCGACUUCAAUAAUGAGUUUGAAUAGGUUUAGCUAUUCAUUGACUACGUCAAUAAAGCACAGCUUUUUAACGACUGAUGUCCGAUAUUGGAUCAGGCUAGUCCAUUUUUUGUUCUCUCCAUUUCCAAAGUUGGGUUUUUUUUUUGACGCUACAUUUAAAUAUCAAAGGUUCAGAUUUAUUUGUGGUGGGGGGGGGGCAGAAACUAAUGAUAAAUCAGAAAUGUUUUUUCUCUAUAUUUGUAUUUGGUUCAUUCUUCUUAAUUUUCAAAAAAAGAAGAAAAUUGUUAUUGCUUUUUUUUUUUCCAACGACUUCGGGUUAUUACAAUUUACCAUUUUACGAAAUAUUUUCCUCUCUUUAAUCAAAUAAGUGACUCUAUCUUUUAAGUUACGAAUUGGAUGGACUAAAGGAAUAGUAUUAUAUGUGAAGAUAUGUCGCAAACUAAAUGUAACUUCAAAAAAAGAAAAAACUAAAUGUAACUUCUACCUGUAAUUCUCUGAGAGUGAAUUUUUAGAAAUCACUAUUGUUUAGUGGCUAUUAACUUUAUAUAGCUACUAUUCAGUUGUUACGGCAGUGUAUGCGUUGUAUUCGCGCUGCUGUAUUUAUGAAUACAGUAAUAAAAAGCGCCUAAAAAUUAAGGUAGUUCAACUGUACGUGCAUGUAUUCACAUGCAUCCGCGCCAAGUAUUCAUGAAUACAACAGUCUAGCUGUAAGUGCAUAUAUUCAUAUGUAUUCGCGCCAUGUAUUCACGAAUACAGUAACAUAAAUAGCAUAUUUCAUUCCUCAAUGAUAGUAUAUACCAUAAAUACUUAUUUUGCUAUAAAAUAUAAAAUGAGCUAUGGAAAAUAAUAUCUUAAAAUAAUUUUGGUUUAUAAUAAAUAUGGUGUAUACCUUUGCCACAGGAUUUAAGAACAUGCAGGAAAGCUUUUAAGAACAUGCAGGAAAGCUUUUAACUGAGCUAUUUUCUUGCAUAAGUACGUAGUCUAUUGCCUUCUUGCGUUCCCACUGGUCAGCUGGUUUCAGUGCCCUGAUAUGAAAAUUAUCAUUAGAUAAAUAACUUCGUGCUGUUAUAAAAUAAAAGCAAUUUAGUAAAACAUGAACAAGAAAUAAAAGUAAUUUAGUAAAACAUGAACAAAAAUAAAGAUAGAGAAAAGGAAGAGAUUCUCUUCUUCUAUUGU